UACGUAGGGUGCAAGCGUUGUCCGGAAUUAUUGGGCGUAAAGAGCUUGUAGGCGGUUUGUCGCGUCUGCUGUGAAAUUUCGGGGCUCAACCCCGAACUUGCAGUGGGUACGGGCAGACUAGAGUGUGGUAGGGGAGACUGGAAUUCCUGGUGUAGCGGUGAAAUGCGCAGAUAUCAGGAGGAACACCGAUGGCGAAGGCAGGUCUCUGGGCCAUAACUGACGCUGAGAAGCGAAAGCAUGGGGGGCGAACAGG
rnacentral:rRNA from 1 species